rnacentral:rRNA from 1 species
UACAGAGGGUGCGAGCGUUAAUCGGAAUUACUGGGCGUAAAGCGUGCGUAGACGGUAGCGUAAGUCAGAUGUGAAAGCCCCGGGCUCAACCUGGGAAUUGCAUUUGAGACUGCUCUGCUCGGGUGCGGAAGAGGGAAGCGGAAUUUCCGGUGUAGCGGCGAAAUGCGUAGAUACCGGAAGGAACACCAGUGGCGAAAGCGGCUUCCUGGUCCGACACCGACGUUCAGGCACGAAAGCGUGGGGAGCAAACAGG